rnacentral:rRNA from 1 species
UACAGAGGGGGCUAGCGUUGUUCGGAAUUACUGGGCGUAAAGGGCGCGUAGGUGGCCUGUUAAGUCGAACGUGAAAUCCCCGGGCUCAACCCGGGAACUGCGUCCGAGACUGGCAGGCUCGAAUCCGGGAGAGGGAUGUGGAAUUCCAGGUGUAGCGGUGAAAUGCGUAGAUAUCUGGAGGAACACCGGUGGCGAAGGCGACAUCCUGGACCGGUAUUGACGCUGAGGCGCGAAAGCGUGGGGAGCAAACAGG